ensembl:lncRNA LINC03060 long intergenic non-protein coding RNA 3060
AUGAGAAUCUAACGCCUGAUGACCUAUCACUGUCUCCCAUCACUCCCAGAUGGGACCGUCUAGUUGCAGGAAAACAAGCUCAGGGCUCCCACUGAUUCUACAUUAUGCACACCAAAGAGAGUUCUAGAAAAAAUGAGAAUAAGAAAUUUACCUGUAAUCCUUGCUCAAGAAACUGAAGCUCUGAGGCCACAUUGUUCCAGCCUUUUGCAGCUCCUGCAUGUGGAUACCAGCACCAGCAGCUCCCCGACCAGGGGCCCCAGCUAAGCCCUCCCAGAGGAUGAUCUUGGCUUUGUACAUGGGGUGUCAAUAUCCUGUGAGUCCAACAGAGGGAAGACAUAAGAAUAUGGUCACCCAGGUAACAGACAUUUGUCUUAAUGUAUUCACUGUGUCAUCAGAAGCCACUUCUUAUCCAUCCUUGUGAAUACUUGAUGAAUGAGGAGUCAAUGAUUAAAUGAAGGAAAGAAAAGAGACUGAAAAGGAGGGCUCUGCUCAAGUCCCUGCACCAAUGCAACCUGCCAAGGGAAAGCGCUCACCAUGGUUCUGUCUUGACCUGCCAGUUUAGAUACCCAUCUAAAGUCACUGUCGCUUACAGUUGUGGCAAUUCUGAAUGUCGACAGGAGAAUGUCUCCCGGAUUUCAGCCUUUUAGAAGAUAAAAUGGUCCUAUGUGUUCAUGAACAAAACCCACCAGUUUCCCCAGGGCAGUGAGUUACCUGACAUCUGGCAGAUUCCUGGAAGGUUUCCUCUGGCCCCAUACUGGGAUCCAUUCCUGGGACAACUAGAAGUGCCAGGGAGUUAAAGCCCCAAGAGCGACCUUCAAGCCAAUAAGAGAUGGAGUUGGAAUGAAAACCUCAGCUUCCUCAUACCUCAGUGGGACAAUCCUGAGAUGUGUUCCUCAAGUCUCUCCAAGGACCUGAUGGGACUGAGUCCUGGUUGCUCAUGAGAGAAACCAGCAGGACUGGAUGUCAGUGAUUGCACCAUGCAGGAUUACAGAUUGUGCUGAGUUUAGAUUUUCUGCCUUCCUCCUCAGUUGUCAGGCUGCUAGCCAGCUCUUCUGCUCCCAUGACACCUGCAUCGAAUGCCUGCCCUUUCCUUACUACAAGACCCUUUCCAGUUCCCAGAUUAGAAUCUGCCACAGGCUAGGAAUCCCACAUCCCAGUAGUGAUUUGGCUCCAAGUGCAAAGGCACCUAGUGUCUGCCUUUUGUUCAGCAGCUUGGUGAUGGACAUAUCCAGGACUCAGAGACCCCUUUCCCUCAGCUCUCUGAGUUGGAAGCUGUCAGGUGCAGAAGGGCAACAUCUUACAUACACAGGGUUUGGGCAGGUCUGGGCAGUGCCUGGUUAAUGUUAAAUAAUGCAGAUAAAGGAAUUGUUGACAUCUGAAAGUCAAUAUGAAAAUUGUAUGCACUGCUGUGACUCAUGCAACUUCACUCCCAGCCCUGGUUCUCAUGAUUCCAGAAGUGGAAAAAAUAAGGCAACUCUUUUCCUCACAAUUCAAAAAAAUACCUAUUGAGCAACAUCAGCUUGGCCCACACAAGACAAUUUUUAUCCCUUCCGUUAGUUAACUUUGCUUUGGCCAAAGGCCAGAAAAACCUCAUUCUUUACAGGCAACCUCAGACCACCAUCCUGGAUCCACUUCAAAAACUAACUGCAGACCUGUGUCUUACUAGAGGUGAUUUGGUAGCAUUGAAGAUCAAAUCCCGAUUUAAAAAAUUAAAAAAAAAAUGAACAUAAAAUGCA